UACAGAGGGGGCAAGCGUUGUUCGGAAUUACUGGGCGUAAAGGGCGCGUAGGCGGCCUUCUAAGUCGAACGUGAAAUCCCCGGGCUCAACCCGGGAACUGCGUCCGAUACUGGAAGGCUUGAAUCCGGGAGAGGGAUGCGGAAUUCCAGGUGUAGCGGUGAAAUGCGUAGAUAUCUGGAGGAACACCGGUGGCGAAGGCGGCAUCCUGGACCGGUAUUGACGCUGAGGCGCGAAAAGCCAGGGGAGCAACGGGAUUAGAUGACCC
rnacentral:rRNA from 1 species